rnacentral:rRNA from 1 species
AUUGAACGCUGGCGGCAGGCCUAACACAUGCAAGUCGAACGAGUGGCGGACGGGUGAGUAAUGCCUGGGAAUCUGGCUUAUGGAGGGGGAUAACUACGGGAAACUGUAGCUAAUACCGCGUACCAUAGGAUGAGCCCAAGUGGGAUUAGCUAGUUGGUGAGGUAAAGGCUCACCAAGCCGACGAUCCCUAGCUGGUCUGAGAGGAUGACCAGCCACACUGGGACUGAGACACGGCCCAGACUCCUACGGGAGGCAGCAGUGGGGAAUAUUGCACAAUGGGCGCAAGCCUGACGCAGCCAUGCCGCGUGAAUGAAGAAGGCCUUCGGGUUGUAAAGUACUUUCGGUAGCGAGGCGUUAACUACAGAAGAAGCACCGGCUAACUCCGUGCCAGCAGCCGCGGUAAUUC